rnacentral:lncRNA from 1 species
AUGCACAGCAAGCGGCAGACAAUCACCCGGCAUUCGGCAUCUCUUUCUUUUCACGCGCUCCCUCGCUCCGCCUUUCUCCAGCUCUGCCUUCUCAGGCAGAUACAUCAGAUACCUUGUUUAUCCAUCUUCAGCUCCACUCUGAGGGCGCAGACGCACGAUUCCGGGAUCGGGUGCACCACGGCGAAGCCCAGGCGGGAGACGGCAGGAGCAGCUCAGAUGAAGAAACUGAAACCCACAGAGAUGAAGUAACAUCCUCAAGAUCAAAAGGUAACAAACGAUUGAGGCAGGAUUUGGAUAUUGCUCUACAUGACGGGAAAGCCUGUGCUCUUGGAAUUACAGUCAUAGUACAACAGAUCAAGUUCAAAGCAUCAUCUAAGUCAAGGAAAACCAGUAAAGAGGUUUGGAGAGACAAACAGGGUCAACUCCAGGCAUUUGGGUCAGCAGAAACGGCACGAUUGAGCAGCACUGUGACUAUAGGAUCAUGGAUCAGAGGCUGCUUCCUCUUUGGUUCUGGGCAUCAGCCUCAUGUCCACUCAAAGUAAGUGGCCCCUCUGAUUGGAAUCGGAGGUGCCUGGGUCAUCUCACAGAGCCAAACAAAUACAAUUAGCUAUUGCAAAGCCUUUUGGGAAUUAUUCCCAGUGUAAAUAAACACAUAACCAUAUAGCAAGAGCCUUGAUAAAGUCCAAAAACAUGCAAACUUGGAGUAUCUAAGAGAAAAGACCACAAUGUAAAUGAAAAACCAAAUAAACUCGGGCAAACCAUAGGAUAGGGCCCUGUCUGUGAUGGCCUGCAUAUGAUGAGCCAUAGAAAAAGGAUGGUGAAUUCUGGAUAAUAAGAAAUGUCAAUGAGAUGCAAGAACCACCUGUUUUAUGUAAAGCUCCAAAUAACCAGAUCACAGUGGACAGCCACUCAAAUAAUGCCUUCAUAAUACAGAGUAUUAUUGAGAAUAACUCAGUUCACAGAGAGCUUAAGGCAGCCAAUAUUUGAUAGCCUGUCAGAAAAAAACAGAACAGUAAUUAUAGAAAAGAAUCAUAUCCUCGGAAAAACAAAAAUUAAUCAAACUAAGUUUGUAAAGUCUAUCUUACAGACACAUUGUCUGGACUGGUCCUCUCAAAAAUACUGUUUUUUUUUAAUGCCAAUUUGUUUAGUUAAUGAUUUUUGUCUUAUUACUUCAAAACUGGAAAUAUCCUAUGACUCAUAAUAUCUUACAACCUUUCUACUUUCUUAAAGAAUCUCAAGUUUAUAAUCACAGGGGAUCGGAUUAUUUUUCAAAAAUUAAAUGGUGAUGUAAUGAUUUCUGUGUCUAUUGUAGAAAAGUCAACCUUAUUACAGCUGCAACAAUGGCAUUAAGAAAUAUGAGUAAUUCCAAUCAACUUGAGAUAAUGUCUAAUCAAACACAAAUACAACUGGUAAAUUUCAUUAAAUAGCAUGGAGAUUAAAUUAAAACACUAUUAUGUAAUAAAAACCUUUAGUGGUACUAAAAUUUUAGAAUAGUUCAGAUAUACAGAAAAAUUUCAAAGAUACACAGAGUUCCCAUUUUUUUCCUAUUACUAACCUCUCAUAUUUGUCACAACUAAUGAAUAUUCAAUAGAGUAUUAUUAACUAAAGCCUAUACAUUUAUUUAGAUUUCCUUAGUUUUUAGCUAACAUUCUUUUUCUUUGUUCCAGGAUCCCAUCCGGGCCACCACAUUGAAUUUAUUUGUCAUUUUAGGUACCUCUUGGCUGUGAGUUUCUUAGACUUUCCUUGUUUUUGGUGACCCUGACAGUUUGAGGGAGUACUAGUCAGUCAGUUAUUUUUGCAGAAUGCCCUAAAUUUGAGUUUGGCUGAUGUUUUUCUUAGGGUUUGACUGGGGUUAUGGGUUUUGGGGAGGAAGACCACAGAGGUGAAGUACCAUUCUCACCAAAUUAUAUUAAAGGUACAUACCAUCAG